GUGCUAGCUUCGGCAGCACAUACACUAAAAUUGGAACAAUACAGAGAAGAUUAGCAUGGUCCCUGCGCAAGGAUGACACACAAAUUCAUGAAGCGUUCCUUAUUUUU
ensembl:snRNA U6 U6 spliceosomal RNA